rnacentral:lncRNA from 1 species
AAAAAAUAAUCAAAUAAAAUGAAAUAAAACAUAAUAAAAUAGAUAAGGAAAAAAUAAUUAGAGUUUGUGUUGGAAAUAUUUUCAGCAAAAUAAAAAUAUGUGGUAAAAAAAAAUCAAGUGAAAUGGAAAAUAAAUGGGUUGAAAAUAAUAAAAAGAAAAAGAAAGGAAACAAAAAAUGGUCAAAGGUGCAUGCUGGGGGUUGAACCUCUGACCUUGGGGUUAUAGGGGGUCAACCCCCUCACCCACUAGGCCAAGCCCCCUUUGGUGAUAACAAAG